CCACUUGUUGCCUCGGCGGAUCAGCCCGCUCCCGGUAAAACGGGACGGCCCGCCAGAGGACCCCUAAACUCUGUUUCUAUAUGUAACUUCUGAGUAAAACCAUAAAUAAAUCAAAACUUUCAACAACGGAUCUCUUGGUUCUGGCAUCGAUGAAGAACGCAGCAAAAUGCGAUAAGUAAUGUGAAUUGCAGAAUUCAGUGAAUCAUCGAAUCUUUGAACGCACAUUGCGCCCGCCAGUAUUCUGGCGGGCAUGCCUGUUCGAGCGUCAUUUCAACCCUCAAGCACAGCUUGGUGUUGGGACUCGCGUUAAUUCGCGUUCCCCAAAUUGAUUGGCGGUCACGUCGAGCUUCCAUAGCGUAGUAGUAAAACCCUCGUUACUGGUAAUCGUCGCGGCCACGCCGUUAAACCCCAACUUCUGAAUGUUGACCUCGGAUCAGGUAGGAAUACCCGCUGAACUUAAGCAUA
rnacentral:rRNA from 1 species